AUCCUCCUUCUGCAGUUCCACCUGUUGAGCUCUAUUCAGAUCGGAGCCAUCCUGGGACCACAAAGAGAGCUGGGUAAGAGCAGGUGUGGACACAGCAUGGACUCUUUAUUUAGUUCAGUUCCACCUGUUGAGCUCUAUUCAGAUCGGAGCCAUCCUGGGACCACAAAGAGAGCUGGGUAAGAGCAGGUGUGGACACAGCAUGGACUCUUUAUUUAGUUCAGCUGAACUUUUUCUGGCCACGGAGGGAAGGAAGAGAGGCUCAGAAGAAAGGGUUCAAUCACCUGGGACUUGCACCGAUUAGCCAUUUCCCCUGCUUCUCCAUUCCGCUUGUCACAGAAGAAGAAGGCACUUGUUGAUGGAGUGCCCUUUGUCAAAGGAAGCUUUCUGAAGCUCAGGCUUCUCCUGAAGUACAUGGUUCAGAUCAGCAGCCUUUUUGAGUGUACUAAUCAAUGAUCCAUACAGCAAGCCAAAGAGCCUGGGCACCUGUGGCCAUUUAGCAUUAAACCCAUGUAGUCAGGCUCAUAGCUACCAAAAAACCAAACCCACCAACCCUGGGAAAGUUGAAAACCCUUGAGUAGUUCAGUCAAAGGAAGUUUGGGGGCAGCUGAGUGGCUCAGUGGACAGAGAUCCAGGCCUCAAGACCAGAGGUUCUAGGUUCAAAUCUGUCCCGAAACUUUUCUUCAUUUUGUAACUCUGGGUAACUACUUCACCCCCAUUGCCUAGCCCUUACAGCUCUUCUGCAUUAGAAACAAUAUACAAUAUUGAUUCUAAGAUGGAAGUUCAGGGUUUCAAAAGUAAAAAUAAGCCCAGUAGCUAUGGCCCCAAACCCAUGAGUUGGAGUUUAAAUAUCAACUAGUUGACAGCUCUCCAAGAGUCUUCCCUCAUCCCAACUAACUUGAAUCAAGACCAUUUCCCAUCACUCCAAUCAAGGUUCCUUGCUCCCUUCCCACAGUGCCUAAUCCUACUGGACCAAGACAAGAACCCUAUAAAAACCCACCAGACCCAUCAGUUUUGGGUGGUCCAUUCCUUUCAUUUUUAUUUCUUUAUUUCUUUAUUUCUUUGGUUGUUUUAAUCCCGUACCUCCUGCC
rnacentral:lncRNA from 1 species